AAACACCGCUGUGUGGCCAGGCGGCCACCUGUAUGGCAGCGCAGUCACUUUCCCAAAAAAUAACUAGCACUGCCAGUAAGCUAAGUUAGGGGUCAGUCACAAGCCAACCUUCGUGGAAGAAGCACCUCGAGACCUCUACUUUCCUCUCAAAUUUUGGAGAACGUAAUGGAACCUGUGAACUGGACCAAGAUUAAUGCAUUCUCUCCGUCAUAAGGUGCUGUAGCCUCUUUUUUUUUUUUUUUUUUUUUUUCUU